AGAGGGAGACCCUCCAGCUUUUGCACCUCUGGUGCAUGGCGUAAUUAUUGAUCCCACUCUGCUACACUUUGCUGAAAUGUAUGUGCUCUGCACUUUUACAGAGGUCGUAUCUUCCCCAUUUGGAAAACUCUCUCUUUCCUCACGUGCCCAAGCAUCAUGUGUUUCCUGUCAGCACCACUUACAGAGAGAGGUAAAACGGAUGAGAAGGAAGACGGAAAAAGUCAGCACUCCGCAAAGACUAUGCAAUUUCUUAGGACGGUCUUUGCUGAUUUUGCAGGAAAGAGGGAGAAGUGACAACAGAAGCAGAAAUUACAGUGAUGUGAGCCGAAGAAUGAGGCAGCCCCUGCAAACCCAGGAGGCAAGGAGAGGGAUUCUUCCCUGAAGACUCCAGGACCCAGCCCUGCCCUCACCUUGAUGGUAGUCCUGUAAAACUCAUUUCAGAAUUACAGUCUCCAAAACUAUUGCUGUAUUAAUUUGUGUUGUUUUAAGCCACUAGUUUUGUGGCCAUUUGCUAACAGCAGCCAUAGGAAGUUAAUACAGAACUGAAAGUCUUACUACUGGGCACACCAGGAUUUCCCUGAGAAAUACCAUAGAGAAAAGGGUCUUGUAAUCAAAUAUAUUGGCCACUGUGACAUCUCCCUCUUGGAGAUUCAAAACAGCAUCUUAGGCUCUGAGGAGACAUAAAAUAAAGAAUCUGUUUAACUCA
rnacentral:lncRNA from 1 species